rnacentral:rRNA from 1 species
UACGAAGGUGGCAAGCGUUACUCGGAAUUACUAGGCGUAAAGCGCAGGUAGGCGGUUUGGUAAGUCUUUUGUGAAAGCUCCCGGCUUAACUGGGAGAGGCCAAAGGAAACUGCUGGACUAGAGUGUGGUAGAGGAUGCUGGAAUUCCCGGUGUAGCGGUGAAAUGCGUAGAGAUCGGGAGGAAUACCUAUGGCGAAAGCAGGCAUCUGGGCCAUCACUGACGCUGAGCUGCGAAAGCUAGGGGAGCAAACAGG